GACGAGCGCUGGCGGCGUGCUUAACACAUGCAAGUGGUGCGACGAACCAGGCUUCGCCCUGGGGCGAAGCCGCGAACGGGUGAGUAACACGUGGGCAACCUGCCCCUUUGAUCGGGACAACCCGGGGAAACCCGGGCUAAUACCGAAUGAGGUGGCGACCCAUGAGAGUGGUAACGAAAGGAAGCUCCGGCCUCGGGGAAGGGAUGAGCCCGCGGCCCAUUAGCUUGUUGGUGGGGUAAUGGCCUACCAAGGCAACGAUGGGUAGCUGGUCUGAGAGGACGAUCAGCCACACUGGGGCUGAGACACGGCCCAGACUCCUACGGGAGGCUGCAGUGGGGAAUCUUGCGCAAUGAGCAACAGCUUGAUGCAGCAACGCCGCGUGAGGGAAGAAGGCUUUCGGGUCGUAAACCUCUUUCAGUAGGGACGAAGCUUCCGGGGUUAAUAGCCUACGGGGUGACGGUACCUACAGAAGAAGCCCCGGCUAACUACGUGCCAGCCGCCGCCGUAA
rnacentral:rRNA from 1 species